CGAACGCUGGCGGCAGGCCUAAAACAUGCAAGUCGAACGAACCCUUCGGGGUUAGUGGCGGACGGGUGAGUAACACGUGGGAACGUGCCUUUUGGUUCGGAACAACUCAGGGAAACUUGAGCUAAUACCGAAUGUGCCCUUCGGGGGAAAGAUUUAUCGCCAUUAGAGCGGCCCGCGUCUGAUUAGCUAGUUGGUAGGGUAAAGGCCUACCAAGGCUACGAUCAGUAGCUGGUCUGAGAGGAUGAUCAGCCACACUGGGACUGAGACACGGCCCAGACUCCUACGGGAGGCAGCAGUUAGGAAUCUUGCGCAAUGGGCGAAAGCCUGACGCAGCCAUGCCGCGUGAAUGAUGAAGGUCUUAGGAUUGUAAAAUUCUUUCAGCGGGGACGAUAAUGACGGUACCCGCAGAAGAAGCUCCGGCUAACUUCGUGCCAGCAGCCGCGGUAAUACGAAGGGGGCUAGCGUUGCUCGGAAUUACUGGGCGUAAAGGGCGCGUAGGCGGACAUUUAAGUCAG
rnacentral:rRNA from 1 species